rnacentral:lncRNA from 1 species
AUGGCCGGUCCUCAGCCUGCAACUGUGGCUGCAAGGUGCUGCUGGUUACCAGUUAAAUAUAAUCACAGCCCUGUCUGGAGCAGUCACCCGGGAAUGGACAAGAGGAGACGCGUGUAUGAGAGACUGCAGACACACCUCGAUCCUCAGAGAGCUGAUGAAGGAAUUUGGAAGAAAGGUGUUCAAAGGUAAGUUAACUGUCAGGCUUGGGUGACUAGAAGAUGGGUCUGUCUUUUGACUUCAAGGACGAUGAAUGAAGCACCUACUAUGUGUCAGAUCCUAGGUGCCAGGUGCUGAGGACACAGAGUUCUCUUCUCCAAGA